GGGGUAUUAGCUCAGUUGGUAGAGCGUUUGAAUGGCAUUCAAAAGGUCAGCGGUUCGAUUCCGCUAUGCUCCA
rnacentral:tRNA from 6 species